AAGAUGCCAGCACGAGGACGAUUGUGAUGAGGACAUGGACACAGAAGUUCCUGAAAGCAUGGGAUGUGGCAAUUGGAACAUCAUGGUAGCAGUGGGGCUGGCUGAUACAAUGGAAAGCCAAUUCUUGGCCCGGCAAACAAGCACAGACUGGUGGAGUCGCAUAGUGUUGCAGAAAAUAAAAUUUGAGUU